ensembl:lncRNA
UGACUCCCAAGGAGGAAGGUUCUCUAUCUGGAGAUCACUCCUCUUGGAGUCCUUCUAUGAGCCCAGGACACGGCUUCAGCUCAGUCCAGGAGCUUCCAUCUGCGUGAAGACUCAGGAUCUUUUGUUCAUUAAGGAACUACCUACACUUUCCCCAAGGCAAAGAAAAGCUGGGGACGUGACAGCAUGGAAGAAGAAGAGCUGGGCAUCUGAGCUCUUGCCUGUGAGCUUGAAGACCAGAAGAACUUACUCCUCCAGCUCUGGUGUCCCAGAUCCAGGUGAUGCCGCAGACCACCAUGCUGCCUUUGGAAAACCUCCAAUACCUGCACCAUGGUGAGACUGUCCAUGGUGGGACACCUGUGGACAACAUGUCCUGCAUGAAAUGGGCACUCAGCACUUGAUAUUAAGGACAUGCUUGGAUUUUUCAAACUGCUGUGUGAGUCCCUCUAUGGGGUGCUAAGUAUAGAGGAAAGGAUAAUUCUGGUUAUAAAAAUGCUUGCUCUCAUGUUGAGGGGCAAAGUUAUAAAAAAAACUAUUAGUCAACACUGUAAUUGAUGGUUUGAUGGUAAUUCACAGCAGCACAGUACCAUGAAUAUCAAUUUUAUUCAAAAGAACAGAUAAUGAAAACUUCAUUUUGUAGUGACUCACGUGUAAUAUACUGCAUUUCCUUUAAUAGGAAGUGAUGUGCAUACAGAAUCCAUAGUUGCUAUGAUUAGUUGUUGCUGAUCUUUAAAGAUAAGAAGCAAUGUGAGGAAAGAAAUUGAAAACUGUGUCAAUUUAUCAACAAGAAAGUUACUCAGAUACCAAAAGUAAUGAGGCACUGAAUAAAAAUGACUAUAAUGAAUCACUUCCUUGAAGUAUCAUUUAGCUUGCGUUUAGAACUGAGCAAGUAAAGCUUUGAGGUCCUAAGAAGUAUGCAUUUCAUGGAAUAAAGUGAAAUUUCUUUAAGCUCUUAAAAACGAAUUUGGUUGCUGUUGCAUAACUGCUGCCACAUACAUUCCAGUGCGUAACAUUGGAGUUUAGAGCCUUCUACACCCUAUAUGUACAAAAUCAUAUGUACCCUAUAAGCAGCACAUAAUCUACUUGGCAUAUGAAGCCAGUGCAGAGUGAUGGCCCUAGAGAUGUAUUUAAAAUUUUCAGGAUUAGAUAUUCAGUAGGAAGGUGGUUAUAUGAUCAAGCACCUAAUGCGUUCCGCAAAUCUACUUUGCUGUUUGCUGUUCUACCUCCUUCCUUAUUACAAAUCAAAACUCCAUGGGAUCAGCUCUCUACUGAGGGCAGGACAUGGUCUCAUAGAACCAACGUUAGAAGGGCAGAUAGUUAGAAGACAUUUUAAAAGUCACUUAGAGUGCCAUUCAGAAAGACUGUGCUUGUCCUUGCCUGAGCACUUAUUUUCACUGUCAGUCAUAAAAGAUAAAAUCAACAUUAGUUUAGCAGAGCAAUUCUAACUCACAAGAACUUAUUGUUACAGGGAGUUGCAUGUUACUACAAAAGAAUUUCUGAAUUUUUUCACUGUUUCAAUGGCAAAGAAUCUGACAGGAGGUCACCUCACAAGGCAGGAAGUCAUUGAAAAGUCUCAUUAUCUUCAGUCUUCUUAAAUUACAAUCGUUCUGCAGAGUGUUUACCUCCAAAAGAAGCAAUUCUAAAUAAAUUUUAAAAAUAUACUAAACC